rnacentral:rRNA from 1 species
AGUGGCGAACGGGUGAGUAACACGUAGGUAACAUGUCUAUAAGACGAGGAUAACGGUUGGAAACGACUGCUAAGACUGGAUAGGAAUAAAGAAGGCAUCUUUUUUAUUUUAAAGGACUAUUAAUAGUACACUUAUGGGGUGACCUGCGGCGCAUUAGCUAGUUGGUGGGAUAGAAGCCUACCAAGGCGAUGAUGCGUAGCCGGACUGAGAGGUUGAACGGCCACAUUGGGACUGAGACACGGCCCAGACUCCUACGGGAGGCAGCAGUAGGGAAUUUUCGGCAAUGGGGGAAACCCUGACCGAGCAAUGCCGCGUGUGAGAUGAAGGUCCUUUGGAUUGUAAAUCACUUUUAUUAGGGAAGAAUUGUAAGUAUAGGAAAUGAUAUUUACUUGACGGUACCUUUUGAAUAAGCCCCGGCUAACUACGUGCCAGCAGCCGCGGUAAUACGUAGGGGGCGAGCGUUAUCCGGAUUUAUUGGGCGUAAAGCGUGUGUAGGCGGUUUAUUAAGUCUGAGAUGAAAGGCUGUGGCUUAACCACAGUUUGUUUCAGAAACUGGUAGACUAGAGUAUGGUAGAGGCAAAUGGAAUUCAUAGUGUAGCGGUAAAAUGCGUAGAUAUUAUGAGGAACAUCAGUAGCGAAGGCGAUUUGCUGGGCCAUCACUGACGCUGAGACACGAAAGCGUGGGGAGCAAAUAGGAUUAGAUACCCUAGUAGUCCACGCCGUAAACGAUGAGUGCUAAGUAUCGGAGGAUUCGGUGCUUAAGCUAACGCAGUAAGCACUCCGCCUGGGGAGUACGGUCGCAAGACUGAAACUCAAAGGAAUUGACGGGAGCCCGCACAAGCGGUGGAGCAUGCGGUUUAAUUCGAUGCAACGCGAAGAACCUUACCAGGUCUUGACAGUGUAAAGAAUACUUAAGAGAUUAAGGGCUAAGAAUUAAGCUUGCUUAUUUCACUUUAUAAACAGGUGGUGCAUGGUUGUCGUCAGCUCGUGUCGUGAGAUGUUGGGUUAAGUCCCGCAACGAGCGCAACCCUUAUUGCUAGUUGCCAUCAUUAAGUUGGGCACUCUAGCAAGACUGCCGGUGACAAAUCGGAUGAAGGUGGGGAUGACGUCAAAUCAUCAUGCCCCUUAUGACCUGGGCUACACGCGUGCUACAAUGGCUAAUACAAAGAGUUGCAAAACCGUGAGGUAGAGCUAAUCUCAUAAAGUUAGUCUCAGUUCGGAUUGUAGUCUGCAACUCGACUACAUGAAGUUGGAAUCGCUAGUAAUCGUAAAUCAGAAUGUUACGGUGAAUACGUUCUCGAGUCUUGCACACACCGCCCGUCA